AGCUGUGAUCCGGUGGUGUCCGAAUGGGGAAACCUGGAAUGUCCGGAGUAGUGUCCGGUGGCCCUGCCCUGAAUGUAUAGGGGUGUGGGUGGUAACGCGGGGAAGUGAAACAUCUUAGUACCCGUAGGAAGAGAAAACAAGUGUGAUUCCGUGAGUAGUGGCGAGCGAAAGCGGAGGAGGCUAAACCGUGUGUGUGUUCAAGCCGGCAGGUGUUGCAUGUGCGGGGUUGUGG
rnacentral:rRNA from 1 species